CCCAACCAUUUGGAAUUGGGAGCUGGAGGGAUCAGAAGAAGUUAUGUUGCACACCCAGAAGUCUGUUGUGUGAGUAGAGCUGCUGUGGAUACAACCUAAAUGAUUAAAGAAUUUGCACACCCAGAUAUGCAAACUCUACCAAGCAACUGGGAUUCAAAAACCCUGGCCUACCUACAACGAAGUCGCCCACAGAAGAUCCCUAUCUGCCCACCCCGAUUUACAGGAACAGCAUAGUUCAACGAUCAUUGCUUGCCUAGCUUAAAGACACACGAACUCAACCUUGACUGAAAACUGGAAAGCCUAGGACUGCAUUAAGGUGGAAGGAAGCAAAGAAUGAGAGUAGGCCUACUUAAAUAAAAAAAGACGCAUUUGCCUUCUUCCACACGAGAAGGAGCAGAGCCUAGAAAUGGGAACGAUGCACCGUCUGGAGGACUAAACUAUCAGUCUUGGUCAGAACUUAGCAGUCAAGCCUGUCUCAGGAAGGCUGCACGCUGCAAGGAGGCGACGGCGCCAUGGCCGCCAUGUUGGGCGCUUGCUCGUGGCAGAGGAAAAGUAAGACUGGGGGAAAGACCUACUAAGACGCGCCCCUCCCUGCGCCGCAGCCAUUCUCCCUCUUUUGCGUUAUUAGAAACCUCCCCCCAACCUGCAUGAGGACAACCGCCAGUCCAAGAAACCGGCGCUUACGGUGCCCGACGCCUUCAUGAUGCUGCCUCUCUCGCGGCCACCCAGAAAAGGAAGAUCCGCAUGCGUGACACCCGUACGUCACCACCUCUAACGGAAUGCACCUCCUUCCCAGAGAGCUGCUAUUCUCCUAUUGGUUUCACGAGAAAAAAUCGCAGUGGGUAGAGAAAACGUCUGUCUCUAGCAGCAACAUUCCUAUUGGUCAGUUUCCAACCGCCGAAACGUAAUUUACUUGAAGGACUACAAAGGUGCGCUUGUCUGUGAUUCGCAUCACGAUAGCAUGGCCGUAAAUAGAGUAUUACUGUAUAGCGCACAAUGUUGUGCUACUGUAACAAUAGAGGCGGCUAAUCUUCAGUCUGGAGGCUGGCUGACAGCCAAACAAUUUUUUCUGCCCCCACCCCACCCUACCCAUUUUGGUAAAAUAGCUCAGCGCUCUUUGGCGUGAAAAUUGCUCCCUCCCCAGUCAUCAGAUUAAUUAUUUGAUGAGUGAGGAGGAGGUUCCCUCCCUCCCAAGUAGCUAUGCACAGGAUUGCAGCUGGACUUUCCAACUAAAACUGCUAGGUUGCCUUACAUUAGUUCUUAUUAGCAGAUCCGUUUGUCUGUUACUUCAUGAAUCCUGAAAACAUGAGCAGAAAAAAUAUCAUACUAAUAUAGCUACUACCAUUUAAUGAUUAUUCAUGCCUUUUGUAGCAAUUGUGAGGCGCCAUGCUCGAUGCUGUAUGAUUUUAAUUGUAUAUUGAUUGCUUCUUUUAUUUCUUACAUUGUAUUUUAUUGCAUUAUUGUUCAGUGAUAUAUCUUUGCAUUUGAGGACCUUUCCUAGUUCUCUUAUAGUUGCCCUCCAAAGUCAGGAUCAUUCAGACCAUGGUAUUUCCGAUCUCUAUGUAUGGAUGUGAAAGUUGGACAGUGAAAAAAGCUGAUAAGAGAAAAAUCAACGCAUUUGAAAUGUGGUGUUGGAGAAGAGCUUUGUGGAUACCAUGGACUGCAAAAAAGACAAAUAAUUGGGUAUUAAAACAAAUUAAAUCAGAGCUAUCAUUAUAAGUGAAAAUGAUGAAACUGAGGUUAUCAUACUUUGGAGACAUAAUGAGAAGAUAUGAUUCACUAGAAAAGACAAUGCUGAAAAAAACAGAAGGGAUUAGAAAAAGAGGAAGACCAAACAGGAGAUGGAUUGAUUCCAUAAAGGAAGCCACAGACCUGAACAGGGUGGUUUAGAACAGAUGCUCUUGGAGGUCACUGAUUCAUAGGGUCACCACAAGUCGUAAUCGUCUUGAAGGCACAUAAACUAUUUUUGCUGUUUGCAGCCUUGAGUUCUUUCAAGAAAAGGUGGGAUAUACACAUUAACAACUAAGUGAAAGAGUUACAGAGAAAGGGAUCUGUGAAGGCCCUGCAACAAGGCUAUGAAAUUAUCAUUGGUUUACACAGCUUCUAAGGGGAUUAUAUUGUUUCCUGGAGGGCAAGUUUCUCAACAGUUGUUAGCUAUUCUUAUGUAUUUGUUCAUGGAUUCAUGGACUGCAAAAAAGACAACUAAUUGGGUGUUGGAACAUAUUAAACCAGAACUAUCGCUAGAAGCUAAAAUUAUGAAACUGAGGUUAUCAUACUUUGGACACACAAUAUAAUGCUUGGAAAAACAGAAGGAAGUAGAAAAAGAGGAAGGCCAAACAAGAGAUGGAUUGAUUCCAUAAAGGAAGCCACAGACCUGAACUUACAAGACCUGAACAGGGUGGUUCAUGACAGAUGCUCUUGGAGGUCACUGAUUUAUAGGGUCGCCAUAAGUCGUAGUCGACUUGGAGGCACAUAACAACAAAACUAAUGAAGUAACCCAGGUACAAUUGCCUUGACAGAGGCAGAAUACCAAAGACAUUAGUAAGAUUCUGCUUGCACAACCAUUUUCAAGUCAUAGGCUGUAAGGUCAAUCCUGUUCAUUUUUUAAAUUUUCUUAAUUAUUAUAUUUAUAUCCCACCUUUCCUCCAAGUUGCUCAAGGUGGCUUACAAGCAUGGUUCUCCCCUUCCCGAUUUUAUCCUGCGAAGUUAGUUAGGCUAAGAGACAGUGAUGGUCCCAAGGUCACCCAGUUAGCUCAUGGCCAAGUGGAGAUUUGAACCCUGGUCUUCCAGGUCCCAGUCCAACACUCUAACCACUACACCAUACUACCUCUUAAUAUUAAUAUUAAUUAGCAUACUCUAGAGUAAAAGGUAAAGGAUUAUAGAAUUUUGCUUUCAUCAUAUCAAAACUGUUUCUUUAGAAGUAAAUACAGUGUCUUUCAGUAGAAGUUCCAAAUACUUGUAUAGAGGAUUGAAGCUUUAUACAGUACCACAGUCCUAAACCACUUACUUGUAUUUAAGUCCAACUGAUUUUAGUUUAAUUUACUGAGGACUGCAGCCUUAAAAUCACAUCCUGUAGGACACUAUUGUCACUGCAAUUCAUAGACCACUUCAGAGUACCAGUCCUCUCCUAUGACCAUCUUUUAUCCUCAUAAGCUGAUGAUCAGAAGUGAUAAACUGGUAUUUCCUCAAAGGAACUUCAUGCAGGUGUUUUUCUAAAUGGGCAGUUCACCUGCAGAAUGGAGAUUGAGGCCAGUGCUCUGCAGGGCUGUCUUUUUGAAAAAAUAAAGCAGUUAGAAAUUUAGAUUUGGAGAUGGUCAGAGGAAAGAAAACUGAGUUUAGGUGGAAUGAAAGCAGUUUAGGGACCUGAAUCACAGAUUUAGGAAAUUUGAUGCUUGCAUGCUACAGGACUGUAUUGUGGGUUAAGGAACCAUUCUGUCAUCCUCAUUCCGAUAUGGGCAGCAUCCGAGGGUCCUCAUGCUAGAGGCCAAUGGCAAAAUUUGGCAGAACAACAAAUGUGCCAUUUACCUCUAUAAAUUAGGCUAGUUUCUUGUUGAACACAUGUCCCUCUCUAUCCAUCCAUCCAGACAAGCAAGAAGCAUUAUCAGAGGACAAGGACUUAUUCCAACCAGGCAGAAACACUCAAGGAGGGUGCAAAGCAGGACUGAUGAGGGGAGUAGCUUGGGAGGGCAUGUGGCCUAGGAGGAGUCUUGAGGGCCAGACAGAGAGACCUGGAGGGCUGAGUUUGGCCCCCAGGCCUGAGGUUCCCCCAUCUCUGCUAUAUUGGCUUCUACUAUGAACUGCUUGUAUUUAUGUCAAUAAAAUUUAUACUGCUGUAUAAAGACACCACAAUUCUCCAUUGCUCUCUCAAGCAAAGGAAACUAAAUCCCAUGGUGCAACUCCUUCAUUUCUCACUACUUGGGGAAAGAAGUGCUUAAUGUAGAUUUAGGACUAUGGUCUUUAGGAACUUGAGCACUGAAAAUAACUCCAAAGGGUCUUGUUCUAUUGCAAUUUUGAACAGCUUUCUAACAAACAUGUUUUUCUAGUAGAAAUUAAAGAGCAAGAACCAAUAUAAAAUAGAAUGCUGGGAUCUGUGCAACAUGUAAUUGAGAUAAUUACUUGAUUCUAAUAAAAGCUUUGUUUUAAUUA